rnacentral:rRNA from 1 species
GACGAACGCUGGCGGCGUGCCUAAUACAUGCAAGUAGAACGCAGUUGCGAACGGGUGAGUAACGAGUAGGUAACUGCCUGGUAGCGGGGGAUAACUAUUGGAAACGAUAGCUAAUACCGCAUACUAACAGAUGGAGCUGCGUUGUAUUAGCUAGUGGGGGGGGUAACGGGUCACCAAGGCAACGAUACAUAGCCGACCUGAGAGGGUGUUCGGCCACACUGGGACUUAUACACGGCCCAGCCUCCUACGGGAGGCAGCAGUGGGGAUUCUUCGGCAAUGGACGGAAGUCUGACCGAGCAACGCCGCGUGAGUGAAGAAGGUUUUCGGAUCGUAAAGCUCUGUUGUUAGAGAAGCGGUAUCUAACCAGGAAGCCACGGCUAACUACGUGCCAGCAGCCGCGGUAAUUC